rnacentral:rRNA from 1 species
AAACUUUCAACAACGGAUCUCUUGGUUCUGCCAUCGAUGAAGAACGCAGCAAAAUGCGAUAAGUAAUGUGAAUUGCAGAAUUCAGUGAAUCAUCGAAUCUUUGAACGCACAUUGCGCCCGCCAGUAUUCUGGCGGGCAUGCCUGUUCGAGCGUCAUUU